UACGUAGGGGCCGAGCGUUGUCCGGAGUUAUUGGGCGUAAAGCGCGCGCAGGCGGCCUCGCGCGCCCGGCGUGAAAGCCCCCGGCUCAACCGGGGAGGGUCGUCGGGGACUGGGUGGCUUGAGGACGGCAGGGGCUGGUGGAAUCCCCGGUGUAGUGGUGAAAUGCGUAGAGAUCGGGGGGAACACCCGUGGCGAAGGCAAUCCCCUGGACCUGUACUGACGCUCAUGCACGAAAGCGUGGGGAGCAAACAGG
rnacentral:rRNA from 1 species